AACACAAAACGUGACAGAGCGAGGGUUUGAGUGCCAGGCGUGGGACAAACAGUAUCCACACAGACACAGCUACGGAUCCUACCCCGGGGCUCGUGAGAAUUAUUGCAGAGAUUUUGAUUCUGACGAACCGUGGUGCUUGACAACGAACAGAAAAGUGGUCUGGGAUCGGUGCAUAGUGCCUUCGUGUGGGGUAAAUGUGACAGCGAAUUCUUCCUCAUGUGCGUCUAUCGAUGAAUUGGAUAUAUCUGAACUGAAGAACGAAAGAAGUUGUGGAUCCUACUGCAACUGGAUUAGAACAACUAUAAAUGACGCAAUAACAAAAAGAAAUCUGCAAAAUGGACGUACAUGUGGAAUUCGGGACAAG